CCUACGGGAGGCAGCAGUGGGGAAUAUUGCACAAUGGGCGCAAGCCUGAUGCAGCCAUGCCGCGUGUGUGAAGAAGGCCUUCGGGUUGUAAAGCACUUUCAGCGGGGAGGAAGGCGUUAAGGUUAAUAACCUUGGCGAUUGACGUUACCCGCAGAAGAAGCACCGGAUAACUCCGUGCCAGCAGCCGCGGUAAUAAGGAGGGUGCAAGCGUUAAUCGGAAUUACUGGGCGUAAAGCGCACGCAGGCGGUCUGUCAAGUCGGAUGUGAAAUCCCCGGGCUCAACCUGGGAACUGCAUUCGAAACUGGCAGGCUAGAGUCUUGUAGAGGGGGGUAGAAUUCCAGGUGUAGCGGUGAAAUGCGUAGAGAUCUGGAGGAAUACCGGUGGCGAAGGCGGCCCCCUGGACAAAGACUGACGCUCAGGUGCGAAAGCGUGGGGAGCAAACAGGAUUAGAUACCCCGGUAGUC
rnacentral:rRNA from 1 species